UUGAACGCUGGCGGCAUGCCUUACACAUGCAAGUCGAACGGUAGAGGGGCAACCCUUGAGAGUGGCGAACGGGUGAGUAAUGCAUCGGAACGUGCCCAGUCGUGGGGGAUAACGCAGCGAAAGCUGUGCUAAUACCGCAUGUGAUCUGUGGAUGAAAGCAGGGGACCGCAAGGCCUUGUGCGAUUGGAGCGGCCGGUGUCAGAUUAGCUAGUUGGUAGGGUAAAAGCCUACCAAGGCGACGAUCUGUAGCUG
rnacentral:rRNA from 1 species